GAGGGUGUAGCUGAAGUGGUAGAGCGCAUGCUUAGCAUGCAUCAAGGUCCUGGGUUCAUUCCCCUGUACCUUCU
rnacentral:tRNA from 1 species